CUACUCGACUCCUACGGGGAGGCAGCAGUGGGGAAUAUUGCACAAUGGGCGCAAGCCUGAUGCAGCCAUGCCGCGUGUGUGAAGAAGGCCUUCGGGUUGUAAAGCACUUUCAGUUGUGAGGAAAGGUUAGUCGCUAAUAGCGGCAUCAUUUGACGUUAGCAACAGAAGAAGCACCGGCUAACUCCGUGCCAGCAGCCGCGGUAAUACGGAGGGUGCGAGCGUUAAUCGGAAUUACUGGGCGUAAAGCGCAUGCAGGUGGUUUGUUAAGUCAGAUGUGAAAGCCCGGGGCUCAACCUCGGAACUGCAUUUGAAACUGGCAGACUAGAGUACUGUAGAGGGGGUAGAAUUUCAGGUGUAGCGGUGAAAUGCGUAGAGAUCUGAAGGCAAUACCGGUGGCGAAGGCGGCCCCCUGGACAGAUACUGACACUCAGAUGCGAAAGCGUGGGGAGCAAACAGGAUUAGAUACCCUGGUAG
rnacentral:rRNA from 1 species